UCUGUUAUGUCAAUAAUGAGCAUGGGGGUU
rnacentral:piRNA from 1 species